GGUCACACAGUUGAUAAACAGUGGCGCCAGUCCCUUUACUGACAUUAAAACGAUGGAUAAACCAUGCCAGGAGGCUAACUGUAGGUUGCUGAAGCAAUGAGGCCCUCUGGCCAUUUUUGAAAGCAUUGUUGCCUCACAAAUGCUGUGACGACAUUGAUACCAGGCUAGCUGAGUCUUAACACCUCACUCCACUCUGGAAUUACAGCUUCCUAGUGUGUCUGAGGAAAUCCAAUCUCUCCCACUCCAGCCCGCCUACUCAUUGAACAUGGCUGCUAUCUCUGUCUUCUGGAAACAUAGCUCCAAUCCUGCAAUAACUCUACACAAGAGCUCCCAGAUAUAAUAAUGAAAAAGUUUGAGAUGCUGCAAGAAUUACCAAAAUGUGACACAGAGACAUGAAGUGAGUACAUGCUUUUGGAAAAAUGGAGCAAACAGACUUGUUGGCUACAGGGUGACCACAAGCUUUCAACUUGUAAAAAUAAAAACGAGCUUGAUUUACAAGCAUUAAAGAUGGAAGAAGCGGGGAAGAGCUGAUUAGCAUUGGCCAGGACAAGAACAUACGGUGAACCCUGGGUUGUGUUCAAAGCAAGGAGGAUUUAUGCUUCCUUUCAGUUACUCUGAGCACUAAGUACUCUCAGGUGGUGAUGGGUGAUGGCCAUGAACUUGAAGGAUGAAUACAAGGAACACAGAAAACCCCUUUUCAACCAAACCACAGGCUUUGGAGGUGCUGUCCGUUCAAAUGAGCAACUCUGAAAAAUCAGUUUUCUUGGGAGAUCCUGAGCUCUUUUAUCAAAGCAGCGAGAAUCAAGAUGAGGGGACUCUGUAGGGAAGUAAGUCUCCUUGCCAGCAGCUGGGUUUUAGGCAUUAGCUGCUCUACUGAAUGGGAUGAGUGAUCUGAAACUUUGCUCGAGGUGGGGUUCCUGGCGCCAGCCUGGGAGACUGUGCUGCCAGAAAGGAGAUGGUCACUGAGAGACUGAAAUGGGCUCUCCCUGAGCACUCGGUGAAAGCUUUCACUAGACCUUGAUGGCACUAUGGUCAUUAUCUUGUCAAAACUGUGGUGGAUUUGAAGAGCUAGUGAUGAAGAAUGGAGGUUCCCUGUCCUAGAAAUAACCAAAGGCCCAGGCUUGGAGGUGGCAGAAAAAGUGGCAGUUAAGAGAUGAGGAUCUCACUAUGUUGCCCAGGCUUAUCUCAAACUCCUGAGCUCAAGCAAUUCUCCUGCCUCAGCCUCCCGAAGUGUUAUAAUUACAGAAAUGAGCCACCACACCUGUCCUGUCUGCUACUGUUAUUGAAGGUCAGUUGCCCUCAUGGCUCCCUCCCUCACUUCUUUCUGGGUUCUGCUGCUUUCCUGGCAAGGCCUGCUUAUGUAGAACAGCAUCUCCUUACCUGCUUUAUUUAUUUCAUGCCACUUAUUUCCAUUUGAUGUACUACAUGUGUGCUUAUUUACUGCUCUCUCACUGGAAUAUAAGUUUACUGCAGAAUCCCCACAGCCUAGAACAUGCCUGAUAUGUCAUAGGCAUUUGAUAAGUAUUUGUUAUUAAAUUAUACUCUUCCCAGGAAUGAAUGUUUUCUUUUUGCUAUCUAAGUGUAAACUUUAAUUCAUCUACCAGGAGGCUACCUAGCUUGGAAAAGAAGAAAAAAAAAAUCACACUUACAUAAAGAAAACGCUGAACAAAGAACUUCCAAGAAGUAAGAAAUAUCUUGCUCAAUUUUUUUUUUUUAGAACAUUAAUUUACUUCCACUGGACAAGGCAAAUCUGUUUCUGUAAACCACUAUUUUUAUUAAUAGAAAUUCCCUGCCUUUGCUAAAUGAUAAACAAAUGUCAAGAAUUUGAAGGAGUAUCACAUCACUGGGCUCCUUUGAGAUCCAUAUGCCUCAAUUCAACCGUCAACCAUGCCAAGAAAGAGGAGAGCAGCUUAUGUCCAAAGAAACUGGGAAAGAAAAAACAAAUCUCCCUGAUGCUUUCUUUAGAUGACACUAAGCAACUGAAUGGGGGAUUAAAAAACAAAAACAAACAAAAAACCAAAACAAUAAAAAAACCACCACAGUAAACAAACAGAAAAAACCAAACACACAUUGACUUCAUCUCUGGGUCUUUUGUAACUCAAGAAACAACACCUGAGUUACAUGGAAUGCUUUAUCUUAGUCUUCUUCACCCUCGCUGUCCUAUUUUUGAACCCUAGACACCACACCUGCCUAGCUGUCAUUGGGCUUUUAAAUUCUCUGAAAUAGACUAUAUAGCUGUUUGAGAGCAGUACAUGGAAAUUAGUAAGCACCUGAGAGGUGCUGAUUUCUCUCUCUCUCUCUCUUUUUUUUUUUUUUUUUUUUUGUUUUUGAGACAAUCUCACUCUGUUGCCCAGGCUAGAGUGCAGUGGUGCCACCUCGGCUCACUGCAGCCUCUGCCUUCUGGGUGAAGCGAUUUUCGUGCCUCAGCCUCCUGAGUAGCUGGGACUACAGGCGCAUGCCACCGUGCCUGGCUAAUUUUCUGUGUUUUUAGUACAGACAGGGUUUCACUGUGUUGGCCAGGCUAGUCUCAAACUACUGAACUCAGGUGAUCCAGCCCCUCAGCCUCCCAAAGUGCUGGGAUUACAGACGUGAGCCACCAUGCCCUGCCCGAGAGGUGGUGAUUUCUUUUGUGAUGUUAAAGGAAUUAGUUUCCUGAUGAGGUUGAGCUGCUAUCUCGGUAGAACCCAAGGAGGCCAAAAGGUGGGUACCUCAGGGAAGACCCUGGAGUGAUAAGACACCAGCACUGCUGCCCAGUACCAUGCGAGUAUCUUUUCUAAAGAGAAAAGUGUGCAGGGAGCGAAGAAAGGAAGCUGGCUUGUACAGUAGCAGAGAUUGACACGUAAGUAGCUGACACUGAUCGAUAAUGCCCAUGUGCCAGGCACUGUACUGGGGCUGCGUGUGCAUGAUAUAGUCUGUUAGUCCUCACAGUAGCUCCAUGAGGUUGAUGCAAUGACAUCAUAACACAGGAAGUUAAGGCAAUUGCCCAAAGACACACAGCCAGCAAUUGGCAGGGCCAGGCUCUAACUCUGGAGUCCCGCUUGUGAUCAUAAUGCACUUGACCAGCACAUCCCCGAUGACACCUCAGACCUAUGUAGGGCUUGCAUCGCAGGAAGGUGGAGGGAGUGGUACCCAGAUGCUUUUUUUCUAUUAAAAACUGCACCAGCAUCUAAGAGGGAAGGAUUAUUCCAGAUGAGUUUGCAAUAAGAUCCCUUUGAUCCUUUGUAAUCUUUCAUCAAUUAGCUCAUGCAGCCAAAAAUAUUUCUGACUAAUCACUUUAAAGAUGACUUUGAGAACUCCUGUAGUCUGCUCUCUUAUGCCUACUUCAGUGGAAAAAUAAUUGUACAAACUAGGAACUGCCAUCUUCAGCAUAAUUUUAACUGGCCAAAGAAACUACCCAAACAUUACCCAGAAAAGUUUAAUCUAUAAAGCAAUUACUUAUCUGUUUCAGAAUCCAUCUCAGCCCCCCCAACUUGGCCCUAGUGAAUUAUAAAGGUGUGAAACAACCUAACACAUCCAAGCAAAUCUAUCUCCAUGACAACACAGUAGCGAUGCAGUCCUGGAAUCAGGAUGCCUGCGUUCCAGGCUGGCUGGAUUACCUAGGGAAGUUUCCUCAGCCUCAAUAAAUCAGAGUUUUCUCAUCAAUGAGAUGGGGAGCCACUGCAUUUGCUGCAAGGUUCCUAGGAGAUCAUUUAUUUCUCAUCACCAUUAAUUUCUCAUCUCUGAUGUUUAUAGUGCACUUAAAAUGUUCCAGGCAUCUAAUGCUUCCUGUGUAUUGCAUUUAAUUCUUACUCCCAUGAGGUAGGUGCCAUCAUUAAAACCUGAUUUAAGGAUGAGAGGCUUGAAGCUUAGCUGAGGUUACAUAGCUAGUCAGUGAUGAGCCAGGAUUUGUACUCAGAUUUGAAUGACUUCAGAGGCCACAUUUUUUUUUUUUUUUUUUGAGACAGGGUCUUACUCUGUCGCCCAGGCUGGAGUACAAUGGUGCUAUCUCGGCUCACUACAACCUCUGCCUCGCAGGUUCAAGCAAUUCUCCCGCCUCAACCUCCUGAGUAGCUGGUAGUACAGUGCACCUCACCACGCCCAGAUAAUUUUUGUAUUUUUAGUAGAGACAAGGUUUCACCAUGUUGGCCAGGCUGGUCUCAAACUCCUGGCCUCAAGUGAUCCACUCACCUCAGCCUCCCAAAGUGCUGAGAUUAUAGACAUGAGCCACCACAUUGGGCCAGAGGCCACAUUUUUAAUCAAUACAAGCUAAAGCUUGUUAAUGUUCCAUGACUGAACUCUGCCCUGCCUCUCUGCUGCCAUCCUUUGUAUAUGAAACUCUUAGAAUUAGAUAAAAAUCCUUGGAAUAGCAUAUUCAAACAUAAAGCCUUACUGCUGUCAAAUGGACCCAGGCUGCACGUGUUCAAAGUUGGUCAAGGAAAUCCCAUGUUGCCAUUCCGAGCGGGCCCAGGUGGUCAGACUCCAUCGGACGAUGCUCCAUUCAUGAUGGGUGCUGUGCAGGGUCACAUGCCACACUGUGUCACCUCUGUGUCAUUGCUUUGCCUAGAGCUGGUAGUUUACAAUUUUAACCACUAGCUCCAAUUUUAUUGCUUCCUCUGGACACAUUUCAUAAGACGAUGAAUGCUUUACUCUUGUUUCCAAAAAAAUGUCAUAACUUGUUCAAGGUCACAUAGCUUGUUACUGGCAGGGGCUGAGUCAUUUGGGUAAAUUAUUAGGCCUUAGUUUCUUCAUCUAUAAAAUAGGGGGAUUAGACUAAAUCAUCUCCAAGCUCUCCUUCAGCUCUCAAAAAUUUAUGGUUCUGGGCCACAGACACCACCAGCCAAGCAACAAGCUGGAUUCAGUCUUCCUCUUCAAAUGGGGGAAGGAGGAACAUAGGAAAGAGGAGCUGCAGUGUGAGGGCAGCAAGGAGCUAAAUAGCUGAGGAAUGAUUGAUGGGGAGGGAGUCGGGGGCAGAGUCAAGAGACUGGCAGAUAUGGUCAGGACCGAGCCACUUGUGGAGGCAGAGAUGUGUGGGAGGCGAGGCCUCAGCCGCUGACAAGUAGCUCAGGCCUCUCUCCAUGGACUUUCUCCUAAGCUGGUUACCCCUUUCUCAGCUCAAGUCAGCUGUUUCCCCACCUCUUCAGUGAGAGGGAGGAAGAGACUGUAUGGUUACAGCAACUCCAGUUUCUUGAUCUCAGUCCACCUGUGCUCACUGUGGAUAAAGUUAGUUGUUACCAAAUUAUAUCAAAUCGAAGACUAUGUCUAUUGGAAGGUGCACCAUUAUUUUUACAGAUAACCAAGAAAGAUAGACACUGCCAAUUACCUUUGCAUGGUGUUGUCAAUUCUAAGAUGGAAUCUGCUUUCAGGAGACAUUAAGAAGUAUGUCUUAGAAUUGAUGAAAUAUAUUCUAACUCCCUCCAUUACUCAUGAUAAAAUCCACAAGUUAAGGGUUUCCUAUGUAGCAGGCACUAUAUUAAAUGCUUUACAUAAUAUCACAAUAGC